CUCAGGUCCUGGUUCCAGAAGGAUAACAGCACUGACCUCCAUCCGCAAGGCACGUGGAACAGCAAAGGGAAUUAUGUUUUCUUCAUUCCCAGAAAGAGCCAGGGGUUGGAAAAGUCCAAAUUGCUUGGAGCUCUGUCACUGAGAGCUUCUGAACCGAGCUGAUGUACCUUGAUCCGACUCCCAGAGCCAAACGGGCUGCCCUCCUCCCUGAGUGAUGGGCUCCUGGUGAGGCUGGUGGUGCCAUUGUCCUGUUUCCAUAGGGAUUUACUCCACACUCACCUGUGUGACGGUUGAGCUUACGAGUUGGAGAGUGGAUGGAGACUCUCCUCAGCCUCGGAAAAGCUCCUCACUGCUGCCUGUGAGGAAGCACUUAAAGUCUGUGCUCGGGGAAGGUGGGUGAGACAGGAAUGAAGAUAUGGUGGCACAGCAGAAAAGUUUCUUUUUAAUCCCCACUAUUUACCUGCUAAAUGGCCACUGAAAGCCAUUUCAUGGUGCCAUUCAUCUGCAAUAAACAGGUUGUAUUUUUAGCCUGUUGCCAGCCUGAUUCAUCCCUGCCUGUGUUUUAUCUCGGUGAGAGGCUGCAGAGAGCUUCCCUGCCCUUUGUCUUAAUGCUUUUUACUUCUGUUCUCAGAGCUCUUCCCACCUGCUGCUCAAACCUAACGGCAUGGAAAGAGGAUGUUCUCAUAGCAUCGAAUGAUGUAUCAGAGGAGGAUAUUCUUGCUCCUGACAAAGAGAAUUUCAGAUUGAUGUCACCUGAGAUUUAACCUUAGACCAGAGACCACCUGAAGCCUCUUCACAUCACUUUGUGAUGGUUUCCUUUGCUCCUUCCUCAAGACAGUAGGUUUUAAUCCUUGUUUUAUCCCUGCUCCUCUGGGCAAGCCCAGACCAAUGAACAUGAUGGAUUUGUCAUUAAAAAAGCAAACUAGAAAUCAAUCCAA